rnacentral:rRNA from 1 species
CCUACGGGAGACAGCAGUGGGGAAUAUUGCGCAUUGGGCGAAAGCCUGACGCAGCGACGCCGCGUGAGGGAUGAAGGUCUUCGGAUCGUAAACCUCUGUCAGCAGGGAAGAACGGUCACUGUGCUAAUCAGCAGUGAAUUGACGGUACCUGCAAAGGAAGCACCGGCUAACUCCGUGCCAGCAGCCGCGGUAAUACGGAGGGUGCGAGCGUUAAUCGGAAUUACUGGGCGUAAAGCGCUCGUAGGCGGUAUGUCAAGUCAAGGGUGAAAUCCCCGCGCUCAACGUGGGAACUGCCUUUGAAACUGGCAAACUGGAGUGUGUGAGAGGAUAGUGGAAUUCCAGGUGUAGGAGUGAAAGCCGUAGAUAUCUGGAGGAACAUCAGUGGCGAAGGCGACUAUCUGGCACAUAACUGACGCUGAGGAGCGAAAGCGUGGGUAGCAAACAGGAUUAGAUACCCUGGUAGUC